rnacentral:rRNA from 1 species
GAUGAACGCUGGCGGCGUGCCUAACACAUGCAAGUCGAACGAGAAGUUCGGGUGUAGUCGCGCACGGGGGCGGCGUGAGUGGGAAGAGCAACUUGGGGAGGGACUACCUGUCAGACUGGGGUAUUCAUGGGGAACAGGGUCUGAGACCAAAGAGUAUAUCGCAUAUGGAUGGGCCAGCGUGGGAUACGGUGGUUGGUUCGGUAACAGCAUACCAAGGCGACGAUUUAUAGCUGGUUUGAGAGGAUGAUCGGCCACACUGGGACUGAGACACGGCCCAGACUCCUACGGGAGGCAGCAGUGCGGAAUAUUGCACAAUGGGGGAAAUCCUGAUGCAGCAAUGCCGCGUGAGUGAUGAAGUCCUUAGGGAUGUAAAGCUCUAUUACCCGGGAAGAUAAUGACGGUACCUGAAGAAUAAGCCCCGGCUAACUCCGUG